rnacentral:rRNA from 1 species
AGUGAACGCUGGCGGUAGGCCUAACACAUGCAAGUCGAACGGCAGCACAGUAAGAGCUUGCUCUUACGGGUGGCGAGUGGCGGACGGGUGAGGAAUACAUCGGAAUCUACUUUUUCGUGGGGGAUAACGUAGGGAAACUUACGCUAAUACCGCAUACGACCUACGGGUGAAAGCAGGGGAUCUUCGGACCUUGCGCGAUUGAAUGAGCCGAUGUCGGAUUAGCUAGUUGGCGGGGUAAAGGCCCACCAAGGCGACGAUCCGUAGCUGGUCUGAGAGGAUGAUCAGCCACACUGGAAGUGAGACACGGUCCAGACUCCUACGGGAGGCAGCAGUGGGGAAUAUUGGACAAUGGGCGCAAGCCUGAUCCAGCCAUACCGCGUGGGUGAAGAAGGCCUUCGGGUUGGAAAGCCCUUUUGUGGGGAAAGAAAAGCAGCAGGUUAAUACCCCGCUGUUCUGACGGUACCCAAAGAAUAAGCACCGGCUAACUUCGUG